rnacentral:rRNA from 1 species
CGUGAGGGGCGAACGUUGUUCGGUGUCACUGGGCUUAAAGGGUGCGUAGGUGGUUUCGUAAGUAAGGUGUGAAAGCCCUCGGCUUACCCGGGGAAUUGCGCCUUAUACUGCGAGACUUGAGGAUUUCAGGGGAAUGGGGAACUCCAGGUGUAGCGGUGAAAUGCGCAGAUAUCUGGGGGAAGGCCGGCGGCGAAGGCGCCAUUCUGGGAAAUUCCUGACACUGAGGCACGAAAGCGUGGGGAGCAAACAGGAUUAGAUACCCUGGUAGUCCACGCCCUAAACGAUGGAUACUAAGUAGGGGACCCUGCAAGGGGUUCCUUGCCGGAGCAAAAGCGUUAAGUAUCCCGCCUGGGGAGUAUGGUCGCAAGGCUG